GGAUACAAUUAUGAUCAAUGAUGUUUCAAUUUGAGACCGGUCGGUGGACUUGCUUUAAGAAUGGAGUCUUAAAGUAGUUUCUCCGACUGUGUUGAUUAACGACCGUUCCGUUGAUGGCCUGCUGGGUUGAGAAUUUGUAGUACUAGCCACUUGCCCUCGGUAAGCCCGGUCUUGUGAUCCCUCGACGCGAACAGCUACUCGCGCACUGGGAGUGGAAAGAUGGCGAGAGUAACGUGUGCCCACCUUACGGAUCUGAGAUGACCGGAAAACAUCUAGAUCGGCUGUAGGAUGGUGGAGUACUGUGCUCUCGGGUGCCGCGAACCUGGUCAAAUUUGGGGAGAGCUUGAUUUGGGUUGAUAUAUGCA
rnacentral:lncRNA from 1 species